rnacentral:rRNA from 2 species
ACGAACUCUGGUAUUGAUUGGUGCUUGCAUCAUGAUUUACAUUUGAGUGAGUGGCGAACUGGUGAGUAACACGUGGGAAACCUGCCCAGAACGGGGGAUAACACCUGGAGACAGAUGCUAAUACCGCAUAACAACUUGGACCGCAUGGUCCGAGCUUGAAAGAUGGCUUCGGCUAUCACUUUUGGAUGGUCCCGCGGCGUAUUAGCUAGAUGGUGGGGUAACGGCUCACCAUGGCAAUGAUACGUAGCCGACCUGAGAGGGUAAUCGGCCACAUUGGGACUGAGACACGGCCCAAACUCCUACGGGAGGCAGCAGUAGGGAAUCUUCCACAAUGGACGAAAGUCUGAUGGAGCAACGCCGCGUGAGUGAAGAAGGGUUUCGGCUCGUAAAACUCUGUUGUUAAAGAAGAACAUAUCUGAUAGUAACUGUUCAGGUAUUGACGGUAUUUAACCAGAAAGCCACGGCUAACUACGUGCCAGCAGCCGCGGUAAUACGUAGGUGGCAAGCGUUGUCCGGAUUUAUUGGGCGUAAAGCGACCGCAGGCGGUUUUUUAAGUCUGAUGUGAAAGCCUUCGGCUCAACCGAAGAAGUGCAUCGGAAACUGGGAAACUUGAGGGCGAAAGAGGACAGUGGAAACUCCAUGUGUAAACGGGGAAAUGCUUAGAUAUAUGGAAGAACACCAGUGGCGAAGGCGGCUGUCUGGUCUGUAACUGACGCUCGAAGCUCCGGUAUGGGUAGCAAACAGGAUUAGAUACCUGGUAGUCCAUACCGUAAACGAUGAAUGCUAAGUGUUGGAGGGUUUCCGCCCCUUCAGUGCUGCAGCUAACCCAUUAAGCAUUCCGCCUGGGGAGUACGGCCGCAAGGCUGAAACUCAAAGGAAUUGACGGGGGCCCGCACAAGCGGUGGAGCAUGUGGUUUAAUUCGAAGCUACGCGAAGAACCUUACCAGGUCUUGACAUCCUAUGCAAAUCUAAGAGAUUAGACGUUCCCUUCGGGGACAUGGAUACAGGUGGUGCAUGGUUGUCGUCAGCUCGUGUCGUGAGAUGUUGGGUUAAGUCCCGCAACGAGCGCAACCCUUAUUAUCAGUUGCCAUCAUUAAGUUGGGCACUCUGGUGAGACUGCCGGUGACAAACCGGAGGAAGGUGGGGAUGACGUCAAAUCAUCAUGCCCCUUAUGACCUGGGCUACACACGUGCUACAAUGGAUGGUACAACGAGUUGCGAACUCGCGAGAGUAAGCUAAUCUCUUAAAGCCAUUCUCAGUUCGGAUUGUAGGCUGCAACUCGCCUACAUGAAGCCGGAAUCGCUAGUAAUCGCGGAUCAGCAUGCCGCGGUGAAUACGUUCCCGGGCCUUGUACACACCGCCCGUCACACCAUGAGAGUUU